UACAGAGGAGCCAAGCGUUGUCCGGAUUGACUGGGCGUAAAGCGCACGCAGGCGGCGGCGCGCGUGGGGUGUGAAAUCUGGCCGCUUAACGGCCAGGCGCCAUCCCAUACGGCGCAGCUGGGGUGAUGCAGAGGUCGAUGGAAUUGCCGGUGUAGUGGUGAAAUGCGCAGAUAUCAGGAGGAACACCAGUGGCGAAGGCGGUGCUCUGGGCCGGUACUGACGCUGAGGAGCGAAAGCGUGGGGAGCAAACAGG
rnacentral:rRNA from 1 species